GUAGGUGAACCUGCGGAAGGAUCAUUACAAAUACAUGAUAGAGGGUCGAAGAUUGAGGAUUGAAGGUCAUUGACCGGAGAUCCGAUGUCGAAGAUCCGAGAUCAUGGCAAACAUCCUGUUGAAAUACUAUUGUUGCUGUAUCAAAAUCGAUCGUGAACAUUCAUGACUGAUUGAAAUGCGGCAAUGAUUUGAACACACCAUAUGAUAGCAUACAAGGAUAGAUUGAUAAAUGUAACCAACUUUUAACAAU
rnacentral:misc_RNA from 1 species